UGGCUGAGUUGUAAAGCACUUGGCUUUCAAACCAGGGGGUCCCAGGUUCGACUCCUGA
rnacentral:tRNA from 1 species